AUUGAACGCUGGCGGCAGGCCUAACACAUGCAAGUCGAGCGAGCGGCGGACGGGUGAGUAAUGUAUGGGGACUGCCCGAUAGAGGGGGAUAACUACUGGAAACGGUAGCUAAUACCGCAUACUAUCGGAUAACCCAUAUGGGAUUAGCUAGUAGGUGAGGUAAUGGCUCACCUAGGCGACGAUCCCUAGCUGGUCUGAGAGGAUGAUCAGCCACACUGGGACUGAGACACGGCCCAGACUCCUACGGAGGCAGCAGUGGGGAAUAUUGCACAAUGGGCGCAAGCCUGAUGCAGCCAUGCCGCGUGUAUGAAGAAGGCCCUAGGGUUGUAAAGUACUUUCAGUCGGGAGGCGUUACCGACAGAAGAAGCACCGGCUAACUCCGUGCCAGCAGCCGCGGUAAUAC
rnacentral:rRNA from 1 species